ensembl:snRNA U6 U6 spliceosomal RNA
GUGCUUGUUUCGGCAGCAUGUAUGCUGAAAUUGGAAUGAUACAGAGAAGAUUAGCGUGGCUCCUGUGCAAGGAUGACACACAAAUUCAUGAAGCGUUCCCUAUUUUA